rnacentral:rRNA from 1 species
GACCUCGGGCAUACUGCUCAGUAACACGUGGAUAAUCUGCCCUCAGAAGAAGGAUAAUCCCGGGAAACUGGGGCUAAUGCUUCAUAGGAGACGGGUGCUGGAAUGCUCUGUCUCUGAAAGGUCCGCCGUCUGAGGAUGAGUCUGCGUCCGAUUAGGUUGUUGUUGGGGUAACGGCCCACCAAGCCUUUGAUCGGUACGGGUUGUGGGAGCAAGAGCCCGGAGAUGGAUUCUGAGACAUGAAUCCAGGCCCUACGGGGCGCAGCAGGCGCGAAAACUUUACAAUGCGAGCAAUCGUGAUAAGGAAACCCUGAGUGCCUGUCAACGCAGGCUGUUCUGGUGUCUAACACACACCAGGAGAAAAGGCGGGGCAAGACCGGUGCCAGCCGCCGCGGUAAUACCGGCUGCUCGAGUGAUAGCCACUUUUACUGGGCUUAAAGCGUUCGUAGCUUGGUCGUUAAGUCUCUGGGGUAAUCUUUUGGCUCAACCAAAAGGCGUCUCAGGGAAACUGGCGACCUAGGAACCGGGAGAGGUAAGACGUACUUCGGGGGUAGGAGUGAAAUCUUGUAAUCCCCGAGGGACGACCGAUGGCGAAGGCAUCUUACCAGAACGGCUUCGACAGUGAGGGACGAAAGCUGGGGGAGCAAACCGGAUUAGAUACCCGGGUAGUCCCAGCCGUAAACGAUGUGCGUUAGGUGUGUCAGCGACCACGAGUCGCUGAGGUGCCGAAGGGAAACCGUGAAACGCACCGCCUGGGAAGUACGGUCGCAAGGCUGAAACUUAAAGGAAUUGGCGGGGGAGCACCACAACGGGUGGAGCCUGUGGUUUAAUUGGAUUCAACGCCGGG